GGGUGCGAUCAUACCAACGUUAAUGCACCGGAUCCCAUCAGAACUCCGUAGGUAAGCGUGCUUGGGUGAGAGUAGUACUAGGAUGGGUGGCCUUCUAGAAAGUUCUCAUGUUGCACCCC
rfam:Vitis vinifera, whole genome shotgun sequence of line PN40024, unoriented chromosome 17, chr17